rnacentral:piRNA from 1 species
UGAUUGUAUGAGCCUUGUCUAGUAUCCCCU